GCCUUCGUGGUGUAGUGGUCAGCACACUCGACGCGUAUUCGAGAGGUCUGAGGUUCGAGUCCCAGCGAGGGCG
rnacentral:tRNA from 1 species